ensembl:miRNA microRNA 34b
GUGCUCGGUUUGUAGGCAGUGUAAUUAGCUGAUUGUACUCUGGUGCUUACAAUCACUAACUCCACUGCCAUCAAAACAAGGCAC